CAUUAUGCAGCGACUAAAUGGUGAUAUGAAAAGAAAAAGAAAGAAAUGAAAGGAAAAGGAAGAAGGAGACAAGGAAGAGGGGGAGAAGAGCUUGGGUGGAGAAGACUCGCCUGAGGUGCAAAGGCGACGGCCGGAGCAACAACUGUUGACGGCAAGCACGAUGGUGGCAGUGGCAGCAACUGGCGGUGUGGCAGACGAUGGAAAAUGCAGAGGACGACUGCAGCUUCUCACUGUUGUAGAAGGUAUUUCCGGCGACCAUUUUGGAUGGUUCUAGUCUCAAAAUGAUCAAUGAAGUGCAGGCUUUCUUUUCCGCCCAUAAUCACGUCGUGGGAUUGCCAGAAAAGCAAGAUUCAACGAAGAAAAGUUUAUGCAUGCAGUUUGAUUUUUAGGCUUUUCUGGCCAUCUCCAAUGAGGUUAGGUUGAUCAGAGCUCACCAAC
rnacentral:lncRNA from 1 species